UAUCUUCUUUUCUAGAUCUGGAGCUCCUUCAGGGCAGAGACCAUGAUUAAUUCACCCAGCAAAGCAUGUGGUGUCCAGAAUAGUGUUUGACAGCAGUGGAUAUUUAAUUCCACGUAAAAGCGAUAAGGUCUGAUCCUGCGUUUCACAUCCUGAGGAACCUCUGUUAUAUACCACAUGUGUGUAACAACAGCCCUGCCUGGGCAGUCCUCCCGCUUGGGGGGUGGCCCCGCACCCCAGGAGAAGAGACCAAGAGAUCAACUUCAGUUGCUUCCUGUGAAGAAUCUAUACGCUUCCCAUGAAGAAUCCUACCUAACAUUACGGAAUGAGUUCUCAAAAAUCUGCAUAGAAAAUUGGCUCAAAGGAAGAAUACACUUAAAGAUAAGCAAAAAUUAAGCCACUCAACAUUUCAAGAGAUAGCAGUCUAUAUAGCAUUGCUACCGGCUACUAUACAUCAGGAGGGGCUACCCACUGAAAGCCUCUGGGUACAAAGUCCUUGACAGAAGAGACCCUGUGUCUUCUCAUCUUGGCAUUUUCUAGAGUUUUAAACAAUAGAUAUCUACUGAAUGAAUAAAUGUUCAAAUAGCAGAAAUGACCCUUUUUCUUGACUCUCAGGAUCAUAUUUUCAUACAUCAUCAGUUGUCUCUGUGUGCGUUUUGUGUGUGUGAACUGUUAAGUUCUGUUAAGCUUAAUAAAUACUGAGUAUCACCACCAGUCAGUGCCGGUCCUUUAAUUUCUUUCAAUGAUUUUAG